CCAUGCAAGUCGAACGAUGAUUAUCUAGCUUGCUAGAUAUGAUUAGUGGCGGACGGGUGAGUAACAUUUAGGAAUCUGCCUAGUAGUGGGGGAUAGCUCGGGGAAACUCGAAUUAAUACCGCAUACGACCUACGGGUGAAAGGGGGCGCAAGCUCUUGCUAUUAGAUGAGCCUAAAUCAGAUUAGCUAGUUGGUGGGGUAAAGGCCCACCAAGGCGACGAUCUGUAACUGGUCUGAGAGGAUGAUCAGUCACACCGGAACUGAGACACGGUCCGGACUCCUACGGGAGGCAGCAGUGGGGAAUAUUGGACAAUGGGGGCAACCCUGAUCCAGCCAUGCCGCGUGUGUGAAGAAGGCCUUUUGGUUGUAAAGCACUUUAAGCAGGGAGGAGAGGCUAAUGGUUAAUACCCAUUAGAUUAGACGUUACCUGCAGAAUAAGCACCGGCUAACUCUGUGCCAGCAGCCGCGGUAAUACAGAGGGUGCGAGCGUUAAUCGGAAUUACUGGGCGUAAAGCGAGUGUAGGUGGCUCAUUAAGUCACAUGUGAAAUCCCCGGGCUUAACCUGGGAACUGCAUGUGAUACUGGUGGUGCUAGAAUAUGUGAGAGGGAAGUAGAAUUCCAGGU
rnacentral:rRNA from 1 species